rnacentral:misc_RNA from 1 species
GAUGAAGAACGCAGCGAAAUGCGAUAAGUAAUGUGAAUUGCAGAAUUCAGUGAAUCAUCGAAUCUUUGAACGCACAUUGCGCCCGCCAGUAUUCUGGCGGGCAUGCCUGUCUGAGCGUCAUUUCAACCCUCAUGCCCCUAGGGCGUGGUGUUGGGGAUCGGCCAAAGCCCGCGAGGGACGGCCGGCCCCUAAAUCUAGUGGCGGACCCGUCGUGGCCUCCUCUGCGAAGUAGUGAUAUUCCGCAUCGGAGAGCGAUGAGCCCCUGCCGUUAACCCCCCAACUUUCCAAGGUUGACCUCAGAUCAGGUAGGAAUACCCGCUGAACUUAAGCAUAUCAAUAAGCGGAGGA